rnacentral:rRNA from 1 species
UACGAAGGGUGCGAGCGUUGUCCGGAAUCACUGGGCGUAAAGGGCGCGUAGGUGGUGGCUUAAGCGUGCGGUGAAAGCUCGGGGCUCAACCCCGAGUCGGCCGUGCGAACUGGGCUCACUGGAGCAUAGUAGAGGCAGGUGGAAUUCCGGGUGUAGCGGUGGAAUGCGUAGAGAUCCGGAAGAACACCGGUGGCGAAGGCGGCCUGCUGGGCUAUGGCUGACACUGAGGCGCGACAGCGUGGGGAGCAAACAGG